UGGGAUAUAAAGAAGUUGGCAUGUUGGCCUU
rnacentral:piRNA from 1 species